rnacentral:rRNA from 1 species
UACGUAGGCAGCGAGCGUUGUUCGGAGUUACUGGGCGUAAAGGGUGUGUAGGCGGUUGUUUAAGUUUGGCGUGAAAUCUCCCGGCUCAACUGGGAGGGUGCGUCGAAUACUGAAUGACUUGGAGUGCGGGAGAGGAAAGUGGAAUUCCUGGUGUAGCGGUGAAAUGCGCAGAUAUCGGAAGAACACCAGUGGCGAAGGCGGCUCACUGGACUGGUAUUGACGCUGAGGUGCGAAAGCGUGGGGAGCAAACAGG